rnacentral:rRNA from 1 species
GAUCCUGGCUCAGGACGAACGCUGGCGGCGUGCCUAAUACAUGCAAGUAGAACGCUGAAGGAGGAGCUUGCUUCUCUGGAUGAGUUGCGAACGGGUGAGUAACGCGUAGGUAACCUGCCUGGUAGCGGGGGAUAACUAUUGGAAACGAUAGCUAAUACCGCAUAAUAGCAGUUGUUGCAUGACAACUGUUUGAAAGGUGCAAAUGCGUCACUACCAGAUGGACCUGCGUUG